rnacentral:lncRNA from 1 species
UUUAUGUGCCAUUAAUUUCCCACAAGUUUUACACUUAGCCUUAUUUUGUUUUCUUACAUGAGUAAAAAAAUUCCAAACUAAUUAUGUUUCUUGACGUUUAGCAGGUUGUCUAUUAAAAGUAGGAGUUUCUAUAGGUGGGUCAGCCAGUGCAUUAAUUGAGUUAUUAACAGGACUAGUAGGUGUAUCAUCUAAAUCUGCUGCUUGGGUUUCAUCAUCAU